rnacentral:rRNA from 1 species
GGUUAAAAAGCUCGUAGUUGGAUUUCUGUUGAAGGUGGCCGGUCCGCUCUAUGAGCGUGUAUCUGGUUCAACUUUGGCAUCCUCGUGAAGAACGUUACUGUGCUUGAUUGCAUGGUUCGCGAAUCACGACUUUUACUUUGAGGAAAUUAGAGUGUUCACGGCAGGCAAGCGCCUUGAAUAUAUUAGCAUGGAAUAAUAACAUAGGACUUUGGUUUUAUUUUGUUGGUUUCUAGGACUAAAGUAAUGAUGAAUAGGGAUAGUUGGGGGCAUUUGUAUUAACGCGUCAGAGGUGGAAUUCUUGGAUUGCGUUACGACAAACUACUGCGAAAGCAUUUGCCAAGGAUGUUUUCAUUGAUCAAGAACGAAAGUAUGGGGAUCGAAGAUGAUUAGAUACCGUCGUAGUCUAUACCAUAAACUAUGCCGACUAGAGAUUGGAGGUCGUUCUUUCUAUGACUCCUUCAGCAUCUUAUGAGAAAUCAAAGUCUUUGGGUUCCGGGGGGAGUAUGGUCGCAAGGCUGAAACUUAAAGGAAUUGACGGAAGGGCACCACCAGGAGUGGAGCCUGCGGCUUAAUUUGACUCAACACGGGAAAACUCACCAGGUCCAGACAUAGUAAGGAUUGACAGAUUGAUAGCUCUU